ACUCCUACGGGAGGCAGCAGUGGGGAAUAUUGGACAAUGGGGGCAACCCUGAUCCAGCCAUGCCGCGUGUGUGAAGAAGGCCUUCGGGUUGUAAAGCACUUUCAGUAGGGAGGAAAGGUUGUACGUUAAUACCGUGCAGCUGUGACGUUACCUACAGAAGAAGCACCGGCUAACUCUGCCAGCAGCCGCGGUAAUACGGAGGGUGCAAGCGUUAAUCGGAAUUACUGGGCGUAAAGCGCGCGUAGGCGGUUAGGUCAGUCAGAUGU
rnacentral:rRNA from 1 species